UACGUAGGGUGCGAGCGUUGUCCGGAAUUACUGGGCGUAAAGAGCUCGUAGGUGGUUUGUCGCGUUGUCCGUGAAAAACUCACAACUCAAUUGUGGGCGUGCGGGCGAUACGGGCAGACUGGAGUACUGCAGGGGAGACUGGAAUUCCUGGUGUAGCGGUGGAAUGCGCAGAUAUCAGGAGGAACACCGGUGGCGAAGGCGGGUCUCUGGGCAGUAACUGACGCUGAGGAGCGAAAGCGUGGGGAGCGAACAGG
rnacentral:rRNA from 1 species